UGAACACAGCUGGUGGUAUCUGGU
rnacentral:miRNA from 4 species